rnacentral:lncRNA from 1 species
UGCCAAUAAAGCAAGCAGGAAAAUAUCAGCUGGAAGUGUAGGAACCAAUCAGGAAAUUUUAGUACAUUAAAGGCAAAUGAUGGUGCCUUAAUCCUGCCAACCAACAGAAAAUAUUUUUUUUCCAUGCUAACAUUGACACAUCCAGCAAGUAGCUAACAGUAGAAAUAGACUAUAUCUAACACCAUGUGAAUGUACAACAUAACAGCAUGUCAAUGUGCAAAUGUGAAUGUAGACUAUCUCUAAAACCAUGUGAAAAUGCACUAUGUAACAGCCCCAGCCAUAUUCAUGCAACAAGCAAUUCAAAAUAAUGGAAACAAGAUAUGUUGGAUACCAUCAAAUAACUCUGACAAUGGUUGAACAGAAUACCUAAUCUACAGCAGCAUAUUUCCAACAACACGCAUAAAAGCUAAUAAGUCAAACUACCAAUCAACACGCUAAAGUCUCACAGAUUAUUAAAUAGAUUAAUGAGUCAUAUGAAACAUCUAAAAUAACAAUAUAUUAAACUUGCAAAUAUUAUAUUUAUUAUUUUUCCUCCCAUAUCUAAAAACCUCAGUUCACAAUUCAGAAAAAGUUCAAUGAAAUACUAAAUGGGUAUAUGAAGUUAUGAAUAUAUCCACUUGUAAUCACACAAAAAAAAUAGUACUACCCAUUUAAAGAAAUUGCAUCAAGUGUAUAAAUCUGCCUCACGCCUUGGCCUCAGAUUAGAAAAUGUAAUGAGUAGUGUGACAGGGAUGGGCAACAUCUGGGCAGGCUCCCUGCUGGUAGGUUCCAUGGUGGAGAAGAAGAUGAACAAUAGACUAAUGGGAAAAAGCAAUGAAAUACUAAAUGGGUAUAUGAAGUUAUGAAUAUAUCCACUUGUAAUCACACAAAAAAAAAAGUACUACCCAUUUAAAGAAAUUGCAUCCAUGCCUUGGCCUCAGAUUAGAAAAUGUAAUGAGUAGUGUAACAGGGGUGGGCAACAUCCAGGCAGGCUCCCUGCUGGUAGGUUCCAUGUUGGAGAAGAAGAAGAUGAACAAUAGACUAAUGGGAAAAGGCAUAGGGACAAAUAAGAAGACACUUAGGCCCUGUUUGAUUCAGCUUAGGAUUAUUAUAAUCUAGAUUAUUAGGAGUAAGCUGAAACAAACAAGUAGAUUAUUAUGC